UACGAAGGUCCCAAGCGUUAUCCGGAUUUAUUGGGUUUAAAGGGUGCGUAGGCGGGUUAUUAAGUCAGUGGUGAAAGCCUUCAGCUUAACUGAAGAAUUGCCAUUGAUACUGAUGAUCUUGAGUAUGAUUGAGGUGGGCGGAAUGUGUCAUGUAGCGGUGAAAUGCUUAGAUAUGACACAGAACACCGAUUGCGAAGGCAGCUCACUAAGUCAUAACUGACGCUGAGGCGCGAAAGCGUGGGGAGCAAACAGG
rnacentral:rRNA from 1 species